rnacentral:rRNA from 1 species
GUGGGGAAUAUUGGACAAUGGGCGAAAGCUUGAUCCAGCCAUGCCGCGUGUGUGAAGAAGGUCUUCGGAUUGUAAAGCACUUUAAGUUGGGAGGAAGGGCAGUAAGUUAAUACCUUGCUGUUUUGACGUUACCGACAGAAUAAGCACCGGCUAACUUCGUGCCAGCAGCCGCGGUAAUACGAAGGGUGCAAGCGUUAAUCGGAAUUACUGGGCGUAAAGCGCGCGUAGGUGGUUUUGUAAGUUGGAGGUGAAAUCCCCGGGCUCAACCUGGGAACUGCCUCCAAAACUGCAUGACUAGAGUACGGUAGAGGGUAGUGGAAUUUCCUGUGUAGCGGUGAAAUGCGUAGAUAUAGGAAGGAACACCAGUGGCGAAGGCGACUACCUGGACUGAUACUGACACUGAGGUGCGAAAGCGUGGGGAGCAAACAGGAUUAGAAACCCGAGUAGUCC